CUUUCCUUCCUUUUUUCUCUCUUUCUUUUUUCUUUCUUUCUAACAAAACAAGGAGAAAAAUUAAUACAGUUUCUCAUCUUUAUCCAUAUGGAAAUGAUUUAUGUUUUUGGAAGUUUAUAAUUUUGAGAGAAAGCCUAUCCUGGGGCAAAUAGUAAUCCUGCCAAUCAGAAUACCAAGGAUCCUGAGAGGGACUCAGGUCUUUUCUACUAAUCUCUGAAUCACUUAGCCUCUAUUUCGUCAUAAGGAAUGUAACCACUUUAUGAAAAUAAUACAGAUUAACCAAGCCAUAGCUCUAGAAACCAGACUCCACAGGUUGCUGGGCCUCACUAGCUGUCUGAGAGCUUUAGGGCUGCCCUAGGAGAUAAUCGUGUCUUCCCAAGAAAGCCGAGUCCCUGGCCAAUGCAUGAACCAUUCUCAGACUCCAGCAAGUGUUGUUUUACACUUAGUGAAUCUAAUUACUUAGUAGAAUGAAUCUGUAAUUAAUUUUAAAAACAUAGCAAGCAUUGUUAUCUUGAGCUGAACAAAAUAGCAGCUUCAGCUUUCUAUAUAUAUAUUACAUUUAUUUCAAUAGUUAAUGCUUUUCCAAUCAAUGCAUGUUAAACAGGAUAGGGGGUUUUCAUUUCUUGAAAGAGUUUGUGCCAGUUUCUUCCAGACAAGGAAAGGCAACAUGGGAGGUAGGGCAGAGAAGUUGACAAAUGGAAAACAUGUACACAGGGAAAUAUGCAACAAGAAAUGUACAGAACCCCACAAUCACAUGCUGGCAGUAAAGGGGAAAGAUGUCCUUUUGUAAUGAAAUAUGAGAAACAGGAGAAAAUGGGAGGCUAAAAGGAAAAGAAUAAAAAAAUUAUGUCAGGGUACAGAACUAGGACCUGAAUUACACUCCAGAGGCAGACUCAGAUAGAAUGCUAAUAAAUUGCUCAACUAGAUAUUCCCAUAAUAAGAAGUCCAAUGAGCCAAAUUAAAUAGAGGUCAAUCAGUGACGGCCUUCACUUUGUUUGGGAACAGGCUCUUGUAAAUAGGCCACAAUAUAUUUUAUUUAUGCUUUUUUUCCCCAAACAUGAAACAUGUAAUCUCAGGAAAUAUAGAUUACUGUUUGGUUUCAAGCUCUGAUUGGAGAUAGUUGUUGCAUAUGGGUGGGGGUCAGAUGGAGUGAGGUAGAAAAUUACUAUUUAGCACUGGCACCCAGAAAGAUGGGCCAUAAUUCAGAAGUGCUCCAAAUUACACCUAUCUAUAGAAGACUUCCUGCCUUUUUGAGGUGGUGGAAUAUGAACAGCAGUGCUUCCUGUGGUUUCUGAUUUCUUCCUUCAUGACACCUUUUCAGUGUUUGGUACAAGGUGCAUGUAUCAGGGUUUAAUAAGAAGGAGACACAGUGAUAUAGAAUGAGGGGUUUAUUCCAGGGAUUAGACCUCAUACAAGUGUGGGAUGUGAUGAAGAAGUCAAUGGGAGUGUGUUGCAUCUGUCUGAUAACAGGCUGAAUUCUCUGGGUCAGCACGGCCAUCAGUAACAAAAGCUGGAUAUGAACUAGAGGAGAACGAAAAAGAAAUGGAAUUAGGAGGAAAAACUGGAACCCGUAUCAGCCUUUUACCAACCUCAAUGUGGAUGGCUUCCAGAGGGAUCGAGUGCUCUCUGCCAUAGAGCUGAAGACCUACCUAGCAUAGGACUUGGCAAAACUGAAGACAGAGCUUUGGGAACUUCAAUCACAGCUGCUUCACUAAGUGCAGCACGAGGAUCCCAAAGCCGCCUGCAGGGAGUAUCAACUUCUGUCUUGAUGGAAUCAUAGCUGUAUCUCCUAUUAGAAGCAUCUCUCCCUUGGAAACCAGAACUUCUAGACCAACAGAGUCUAAAGUUGAGAAUAGAAAGAAUAAAUUUUGCUGUUGAUCACUAUGGGUAACAGUGAGAGGAGUCCGUUCCAUCUUCACCCCUGGAUUCCUGAAUCUAUGAAAUCUGGAUAAGGGAGAAACAGCAAUAUGCGUUGAUGGAUCAUUUAGAGAAUUUACUGCAUCUUUCAGGACAUUAUCCUAGCCUUGCAAAGUGUUUUCAUCCGUCUAGCACAGUAAAUAAAUUGUUAAAAGAAGAAUUCCACCUUUCUACUGCUUUACAGUGAUGGAUAACAAGUUAAGACUAAUGAAUUCCACGAUCAUGAGUCUGCUAUUCUUUAUAUGCUGCAAAGUAAGUUCCUUGGUCAAAAGCAAAGCAUUAUGGAAUACCAUGAUGGGAAAUAAGAUAUAAGAAUUCUGUACGUCCACAGAUGCUGAUUUUGGCAAAGGUAUUACAGAUAGGGAAGACAAAUCCCUAUGAAGAGUAAGUUUUUUAUGGAGCAAGAACAAAAUACUGCCCUUUCAUGCCUUGUGAGCAGAAGUUCAUGUUGCUGAACUCACGCAUAUCCUCCAUGUCUACCACCACGGCUAUUUUGUUCAUGCGCCUAUUGGUCAAGGACAGAAGAAACUGAAGAGAAAAAUCUGAUAGAGGUCUGUAGAAUGUGUCUUCUUGCCCAUUAUUAAGAUCCAUACAUGCUGAGGUUUAACUUUGAUGAGCAUUCACAUGGGUCCAUUUAGGAAGAUCUAUCCAUUUCCUUCUUCCCCAGAUUUUCCUGUCACUAAUUUUCCAGACAUGUUUCUUCUAAGUCCCUUAGUAUCCAUCUAAACUAUUAGCUACUGCUCAUGAAGCAAUGUAGAUUUGUACCCCUGGCUCUCUCUCCUUUGAAGCAAAAUGAACAAUUAGGUACACUGCUGGAAGUUCUCCCUACUGGGAAAAUUAUUCUUCCUCACACCACCAUUGUAGGGCCACAACGAUGUAGUCAUUCAGUUUUGGAUGAUAUCAGAAUAUCAUGCAAAAAUUUCUGUAAACAAGGCCAAAUAUUUUUCAGUCCACUGGUCACUGAGUGCUUCCCAUGAGGCCAUGGGUGUAAGAUUCUGAAGCUAUUGUAGCACAAAUAGACACCAUGGAUAACUGGGUCACUUGCUUAUUCAAUGUACUUGUGCUUGAUCUCAAAAACCCUACUUACAUUUGAUCAUGGAAUGCUAUACUUCAUGCCUAACUUAGAGGCUGGAUGGAUCCACAACACUUAGUUCAUCAUGGGCAGUUCAGGUUGCAUUAUAACUUGAUGGCCUAUGAUCAAGCUUUCAGUUUCAAACUGGUAUUCUAAAGAAGAAUUUUGAAGAAAAAAGAAGAAUUUCUGAAUUAAAAGAAUAAUUUUUCUGAAGAAGUUGUUAUAGUUUUGCUCCAGAAUUCUAAAUGUCUGCUCUAUGAUUCACCCUAUCAGGUUAGUGGCUUCAUGCAGGAUUCCUGCCCAAUAGAGACAUUUUUAGUGCCAUGGAAUCUACUGGAUCUAGAUGUAAGAGUAGUAUGCAUGGCAGCCUUGAACUGCUGUAGAGGCUUUUCUUAUUCUAGACCCCACACAAAACUAAUGACCUUACAUCUUACUUGGUAAAUGGAUUGUAGUAGCAUGCCUGAUGAGAUAUAUAUUCGCUUUAAAUCCACGAAGGCCCAUUAGAUAUUGUCCCUCUUUCUUACUGGUAAGAGAGGUCAGAUAUAGCAACUUGUCAUCAUGUUCACGAAUGGAGCAUCUUGGCAUGCUCAAAACAAGUAAAUCACUACAGAUUUCAAUAACAUAUUCAGUGGAUAUAAACUACUGAAUUUUGUGGAAUUUAUUUAUCACUCUUUGGUAUGCAAGUCUCUUAACAUAUCUAAAACUAGUUAUUUCAUCCUGUUUACCAGGUACAGUAAGCAUGAUAUAAUAUCAUUAAUACAAUGUAUCUGCAUGGUAUCUGGUGGAAUGGAUAGACAAUUAUGGACCCUAUGGACUAGAUUAUAACACAGGGCUGUAAAGUUGAAAUAGCCCUGAAGUAGGACAGUGGAGGUAUAUUACUAACCCUGUUGGCUGGAAGCAAAUUGCUUCUGAUGAUAUUUACCAGAGAUUAGCAAACAUUCUCUGUAAAGAGCUAGAAAAUGAAUAUUUUAGAAUUUGGAGGACAUACUAUCUGCCAUAAUUACUGAAAUCUGCUGUUGUAGCACAAAAACAGCCAAACAUAAUAUAUGCGUAAACGGAUGUAACUGUGUUCUAAUAAAACUUUAUUUAUAAAAAUCCAGUAGUCUGAAUUUGGCCCAUGAGCUACAAUUUGCUAAUUUCUGGACUUCAUUAACAGGUAUAGAGAAAUAAGUAUUUGGCAGCUCAAUGGCUCCUGACCAGGUGCUACUAGCCAUAUCGGUUUGUUCCGUCAAUGAAACUACAUUUGGAACAACAGCUGCAGUUGGAGCCAACAUCUGAUUGAGAUAUUAAAACUUCACUGUCAUUCUUCAAAAUUCAUCUGUGUUCUGCAUAGGAUAAAUUGGGAAAGUAAAUCAGGAAUUUGGUAGGAAUCACCAUCCUUGCGUUUUGUUUCAAUUCCUGUUGGUGGCUCUAAUCUUCAUAAUUCUUUAAGGGUUCCUUUUGUUGACUAUUUUGGCAUAUUGCUUAUUGCUGCAUAAUAAACUAUUACAAAACUUCGGGAGUUAAAACAAUAACAAUUGUUUUGCUCACUAAUCUGUUUUAGGCAGGUUCAAUAAGGACAGCUCAUCUCUGAUAAACUCAUGAAGAUAAGACAUAUCAUCUGGGAAGGCUUGGCUGGGGCUGGAGAACCUACUGCCAAGAUAGCUCUCUCAAAUGACUGGUAAGUGCUUCUUACAGUUGACUUGGAACUCAUCCAGGGUUAUCCACUGGAUACCUUGGCUCCUCUCCACAUGGACCUCUCCAUGGGGAUGCUUGGGCUUCCUGAAAACAUGGCAGCUAGUUUCUAAGAACAAGUAUUCCAGAAGGCAUGGAUAAAAGUUGUAAGUAUUCUAAAUCACUUAAAAUCUGAAGUACUGGAUCACUUCUGCCAAAUUCCAUUUAUUAAGUGAAUCAGUAAUGCAAGCCCAGAUCUAAGGGCUGGGAAAUUAGACUUCACUUCUCAGUGCAUAGAGUAGCAAAGGACUUGUGGCCCCAUCUUUAAUCCAUGAUAGUUCACUUUGCACAACAAAGCCAAAACUAGGAGACUGGCAAAUGUUACUACCCUCAGAGGAGAGUUUUUUAAGAAAAUAAUAUCAAAUUUCACAGUUCUACGAAACCACUGGGGGCUCCACUGAGCAGUAUUUCAAAUAGAUUAUACUCUACCAAGUGAGCAAGAGAAGUUAGAGAGGUAGAGAAAAAGGCCCAAAGAAAAGAAUAGAACGCAAGUAUUUAUUCAUUAGUACUUGCUCCUUAUGUAUGUCAAUUCCAAGAAAGUCAUCAGAAAGACAGUUCCUUUCUGCUAAUCUGGACAUGAGUGUCUGGGAUUCUCUUAAAAGUGAUCUUCUCAAUGCCAGGCAGCACUGGACCUUAGCAUUUAUCUAUUUAUUUGUUCAUUCAACAAACAUGUGUUUCAUUUAUAUCUUUCACUUUAUAUUCUUGCCCAAACUAUGGCAAGUGUUUAUUGAGAAGACUCUACCCUUGAGGAGCCCACAGCCUUCCAUGUAUCUAUUUAGACUAUAGGUUAAAGAGGUACUUGGUCUUCCCUAUAACACCUAGGUCAGUGUCUUGCUUGUAGUAUUGAUCCGUAUUUUGUUACUGAGUGAUCAGAGCAUUUUUAUUCCAUUGGCUUUUGACAUCUAAAAUACUUGUUGGCUUAUAAAACUCCAGAAUAUUUAACAAUCAGCUCUCAUAAGCUGGUGUGUGGGAUAGUAUCAAAAAGCUCUCUUCUGAGGUAGAGCUUUAUCUCCUUACGAGGAUAAGGCUGUCACAGCAGACGGUGCCUCAAGGAUCUUUUUUUUUUUUUUUUUUUU